GACGAACGCUGGCGGCGUGCUUAACACAUGCAAGUCGAACGGAAAGGCCCUGCUUUUGUGGGGUGCUCGAGUGGCGAACGGGUGAGUAACACGUGAGUAACCUGCCCUUGACUUUGGGAUAACUUCAGGAAACUGGGGCUAAUACCGGAUAGGAGCUCCUGCUGCAUGGUGGGGGUUGGAAAGUUUCGGCGGUUGGGGAUGGACUCGCGGCUUUUUAGCUUGUUGGUGGGGUAGUGACUUACCAAGGCCUUGACGGGUAGCCGGCCUGAGAGGGUGACCGGCCACAUUGGGACUGAGAUACGGCCCAGACUCCUACGGGAGGCAGCAGUGGGGAAUAUUGCACAAUGGGCGGAAGCCUGAUGCAGCAACGCCGCGUGCGGGAUGACGGCCUUCGGGUUGUAAACCGCUUUCGCCUGUGACGAAGCGUGAGUGACGGUAAUGGGUAAAGAAGCACCGGCUAACUACGUG
rnacentral:rRNA from 1 species